rnacentral:rRNA from 1 species
GAUGAACGCUGGCGGCGUGCCUAAUACAUGCAAGUCGAGCGAACGGACGAGAAGCUUGCUUCUCUGAUGUUAGCGGCGGACGGGUGAGUAACACGUGGAUAACCUACCUAUAAGACUGGGAUAACUUCGGGAAACCGGAGCUAAUACCGGAUAAUAUUUUGAACCGCAUGGUUCAAAAGUGAAAGACGGUCUUGCUGUCACUUAUAGAUGGAUCCGCGCUGCAUUAGCUAGUUGGUAAGGUAACGGCUUACCAAGGCAACGAUGCAUAGUCGACCUGAGAGGGUGAUCGGCCACACUGGAACUGAGACACGGUCCAGACUCCUACGGGAGGCAGCAGUGGGGAAUCUUGGGCAAUGGGCGAAAGCCGGACGGAGCAACGCCGCGUGGGUGAAGAAGGUCUUCGGGUUGUAAACCUCUUUUAUUGGGAAAGAAAAGAGGUGGAAGAACCUGUGCCCAUUUUGACGGUACCUAACCAAAAAGCCACGGCUAACUACGUG